GAACAGAAGGAGGUUUUUUUUCAUUUCAUUUUCAUUUCAUUUUCAUUGUGCAUCAUAAAUAUUCUGUCACCACGGAGCUUCACCCUGUAAUGAGCUACAAUUUAUUCACUGAGUACAUUUCUUUGGUGGCCUGGGAAGCAAGCUAUAGGACGGAAGGGUAGGCACCACAUGCUAAACCCAGUCCAGCAGACUUCAGGUACUGUCUGGGUGAGGAGACAGAGGGGUUAAAGACAAAGCAAAAGAGAGAGAGAGAGACAGAGGGGUUAAAAACAAAGCAAAAGAGAGAGAGAGACAGACAGAGGGUUAAAAACAAAGCAAAAGAGAGAGACAGACAGAGGGUUAAAAACAAAGCAAAAGAGAGAGACAGACAGAGGGUUAAAAACAAAGCAAAAGAGAGAGACAGACAGAGGGGUUAAAAACAAAGCAAAAGAGAGAGACAGACAGAGGGGUUAAAGACAAAGCAAAAGAGAGAGAGAGAGAGACAGACAGAGGGGUUAAAGACAAAGCAAAGAGAGAGAGAGAGACAGACAGAGGGGUUAAAAACAAAUCAAAAGAGAGAGAGAGACAGACAGAGGGUUAAAGACAAAGCAAAAGAGAGAGAGAGAGACAGACAGAGGGGUUAAAGACAAAGCAAGAGAGAAGAGAGAGAGAGAGACAGACAGAGGGUUAAAGACAAAGCAAAAGAGAGAGAGAGAGACAGACAGAGGGGUUAAAGACAAAGCAAAAGAGAGAGAGAGAGAGAGAGAGAGAGAGAGAGAGAGAGAGACAGACAGAGGGUUAAAGACAAAGCAAAAGAGAGAGAGAGAGAGAGAGAGAGACAGACAGAGGGGUAAAAACAAAUCAAAAGAGAGAGAGAGACAGACAGAGGGUUAAAGACAAAGCAAAAGAGUGAUGGGGAGAGGCAGUGUAUUCCGCAUCCAGAGGAAAAGGAGAGGGAGACAGAGAAGAAGAGGGGAAAGAUCAAACCUUCUGGGUGAGGUGCUCUCAGAGGGAGAUAGAGAGAGAGGGAGGGAAAUACAGACAAAGAGAGUAAGGGAGAGAGAAAGAGAGAGAGAGAGAAUGGGAGGAAAGAGAGAGGGAGAGCAUUGGUGAUGCACUGCAUCCCACAGAGUGGGGAGUAAUCUAUCAUUCCUCGGAGGGGGGCAAUGCUCAGAUGCAGAGUCAUCAAAGAUCACAAUUAAUUAAGAAGAGAAAAUACUGGCUAAGGCACAGAAGGAGGGAGAG
ensembl:lncRNA